GACGAACGCUGGCGGCGUGCUUAACACAUGCAAGUCGAACGGAAAGGCCCUGCUUUUGUGGGGUGCUCGAGUGGCGAACGGGUGAGUAACACGUGAGUAACCUGCCCUUGACUUUGGGAUAACUUCAGGAAACUGGGGCUAAUACCGGAUAGGAGCUCCUGCUGCAUGGUGGGGGUUGGAAAGUUUCGGCGGUUGGGGAUGGACUCGCGGCUUAUCAGCUUGUUGGUGGGGUAGUGGCUUACCAAGGCUUUGACGGGUAGCCGGCCUGAGAGGGUGACCGGCCACAUUGGGACUGAGAUACGGCCCAGACUCCUACGGGAGGCAGCAGUGGGGAAUAUUGCGCAAUGGGCGGAAGCCUGAUGCAGCAACGCCGCGUGCGGGAUAACGGCCUUCGGGUUGUAAACCGCUUUCGCCUGUGACGAAGCGUGAGUGACGGUAAUGGGUAAAGAAGCACCGGCUAACUACGUG
rnacentral:rRNA from 1 species